UACGGGGGGGGCAAGCGUUGUUCGGAAUUACUGGGCGUAAAGGGCGUGUAGGCGGCCAACUAAGUCCGACGUGAAAUCCCCAGGCUUAACCUGGGAACUGCGUCGGAUACUGGAUGGCUUGAAUCCGGGAGAGGGAUGCAGAAUUCCAGGUGUAGCGGUGAAAUGCGUAGAUAUCUGGAGGAAUACCGGUGGCGAAGGCGGCAUCCUGGACAAUUGCUGACGCUCAGGCACGAAAGCGUGGGGAGCAAAAGGG
rnacentral:rRNA from 1 species